rnacentral:piRNA from 1 species
UCCCAGGUAGUUAAACUGUUGAAAAUGGAGU